AUUGAACGCUGGCGGCAUGCCUUACACAUGCAAGUCGAACGGUAACAGGUCUUCGGAUGCUGACGAGUGGCGAACGGGUGAGUAAUACAUCGGAACGUGCCUAGUAGUGGGGGAUAACUACUCGAAAGAGUGGCUAAUACCGCAUGAGAUCUACGGAUGAAAGCAGGGGAUCGCAAGACCUUGUGCUACUAGAGCGGCCGAUGGCAGAUUAGGCAGUUGGUGGGAUAAAAGCUUACCAAGCCGACGAUCUGUAGCUGGUCUGAGAGGACGAUCAGCCACACUGGGACUGGGACACGGCACAGACUCCUACGGGAGGCAGCAGUGGGGAAUUUUGGACAAUGGGCGAAAGCCUGAUCCAGCAAUGCCGCGUGCAGGAUGAAGGCCUUCGGGUUGUAAACUGCUUUUGUACGGAACGAAAAGCCCCGGGUUAAUACCCUGGGGUCAUGACGGUACCGUAAGAAUAAGCACCGGCUAACUACGUGCCAGCCGCCGCUGUAA
rnacentral:rRNA from 1 species